rnacentral:rRNA from 1 species
GAUGAACGCUGACAGAAUGCUUAACACAUGCAAGUCUUUGGCGAAGCUGUGCUUGCACAGCCUAGCCAAGGCGGACGGGUGAGUAACGCGUAAGGAACUUGCCCUGCAGUCAGGGAUAACAGACGGAAACGACUGAUAAGACCUGGUAAAGUCAGGCGGACUCAUGUCCAGCCUGAUGAAAAGAGAUGCUGCAGGAGAGCCUUGCAUCCUAUUAGCUUGUUGGUGGGGUAACGGCCCACCAAGGCGAUGAUAGGUAGCCGGCCUGAGAGGGUGGACGGCCACAAGGGGACUGAGAUACGGCCCUUACUCCUACGGGAGGCAGCAGUGGGGAAUAUUGGACAAUGGGGGCAACCCUGAUCCAGCAAUUCUGUGUGCACGAUGAAGGUUUUCGGAUUGUAAAGUGCUUUCAGCAGGGAAGAAAAAAAUGACGGUACCUGCAGAAGAAGCGACGGCUAAAUACGUG